rnacentral:lncRNA from 1 species
UCUUUCCUUGGAUAUUUCUUUUAUAAGAGCCCAUUAGAAGCUUGAGGCCCAUAACUUCUUUCUCUUAUACACCUCCAUUAACCGUGCAAAUCGACGCCGUCAACUUCAACCUAAAUCCCACAGCCUCCCAAAAUACGCCUCUGUAACGUUAAAGAUCAACAUUCAAUCGACGUAAUUGUGAUCACCAUUAACGACAUUUAAACUACACCUUCCAUGACUUCUCAUUCAGUUCUCCUCUCUCUCCACCAUUGUUACUCUCCAAAUCCAAUCUAUAAAUAGCGAUAUCUUAUUUUACUGUUUCACAUCCCUCCU